ACAUGCAGGCAAGGAGCUGGACACCCAAAUUUGUGUCCUCGCCAUAUACCUGCGCGCAAUACCUGAUAAACAUUCUUCUUAGAUUAAGAAUCGAACUCAACCACAGCAGACCAGAAGAGAAGGAAGGAAGAUGCAAUGUGUACCUGACAUGAGGCAGCGACCGUGGCGAACAAAUGGAGGCAGGACACCAGCAUCUUGAUGUUGCACGAGGUCUCAGGGGUUGCUGAUGAUAUGCAUCUGCUUGUGAAUCCCCUGCUCCACGCCCUUGGCAUCGCCCCCUGCUCCUCAACCCCUUGUGCCGCUCGUGUCCAGGCACAUGGGAGAAGCUUGAGGUUGCCGCACGCCUGCUCGUCCCUCCCGCCGCCACCAGCAACCGGCGCCCAUGAAAAGCGGCGGCGCUUCCCUCGCCCUCGAGCGUCCGCAUCCGAGAGUCACUCCCCGUGGCAGGUUGAGACCCGUCGAGGCGAAUACGGCUUGGGGAGGUGUUGGCGGCGGCAACCCUAGCGGCGGCGGCGGCGGCUGCAGUGGAAAGAACGAGAGAGAUGGGAAGUUGCGUGCAAUGGGAAGCAAACGCGAGGCGCUCUUCUCGUUCUCCUGUAAUGUGGUGGGCCAACCAGGACCAAAAAAAGAACAACACGAAUACGCCAAUACGGAACGAGCUUUUCCACA